rnacentral:rRNA from 1 species
AUAUCAAUAAGCGGAGGAAAAGAAACCAACAGGGAUUGCCUCAGUAACGGCGAGUGAAGCGGCAAAAGCUCAAAUUUGAAAUCUGGCGCCUUCGGUGUCCGAGUUGUAGUUUGAAGAAGGUAACUUUGUUUUUGGCUCUUGUCUAUGUUCCUUGGAACAGGACGUCACAGAGGGUGAGAAUCCCGUGCGAUGAGAUGCCCAAUUACAUGUAAAGUGCUUUCGAAGAGUCGAGUUGUUUGGGAAUGCAGCUCUAAGUGGGUGGUAAAUUCCAUCUAAAGCUAAAUAUUGGCGAGAGACCGAUAGCGAACAAGUACAGUGAUGGAAAGAUGAAAAGAACUUUGAAAAGAGAGUGAAAAAGUACGUGAAAUUGUUGAAAGGGAAGGGCUUGAGAUCAGACUUGGUAUUUUGCGUUCCUUUCCUUUUUGGUUGGGUUCCUCGCAGCUUACUGGGCCAGCAUCGGUUUGGAUGGUAAGAUAAUGACUAAGGAAUGUGGCUCCACCUCGGUGGAGUGUUAUAGCCUUGGUUGAUAUUGCCAAUCUAGACCGAGGACUGCGUCUUUGACUAGGAUGCUGGCAUAAU